rnacentral:rRNA from 1 species
UACGAAGGGUGCUAGCGUUGUUCGGAAUUACUGGGCGUAAAGCGCGCGUAGGCGGCUUUUCAAGUCAGGGGUGAAAUCCCACGGCUCAACCGUGGAAUUGCCUUUGAAACUGUAAAGCUGGAGUGUCGGAGGGGAUAGCGGAAUUCCUAAUGUAGAGGUGAAAUUCGUAGAUAUUAGGAGGAACACCGGUGGCGAAGGCGGCUAUCUGGACGACAACUGACGCUGAGGCGCGAAAGCACGGGGAUCAAACAGG